rnacentral:rRNA from 1 species
AACGAACGCUGGCGGCGUGCUUAACACAUGCAAGUCGAACGGUAAGGCCCUUCGGGGUACACGAGUGGCGAACGGGUGAGUAACACGUGGGUGAUCUGCCCUGCACUUCGGGAUAAGCCUGGGAAACUGGGUCUAAUACCGGAUAGGACCACUGCCUGCAUGGGUGGUGGUGGAAAGCUUUUGCGGGGUGGGAUGGGCCCGCGGCCUAUCAGCUUGUUGGUGGGGGGAUGGCCUACCAAGGCGACGACGGGUAACCGGCCGGGGAGGGUGACCGGCAACACUGGGGCUGAGAUACGGCCCAGACUCCUACGGGAGGCAGCGGUGCGGAAUAUUGCACAAUGGGCGCAAGCCUGAUGCAGCGACGCCGCGUGAGGGAUGACGGCCUUCGGGUUGUAAACCUCUUUCAGCACCGACGAAGCGCAAGUGACGGUAGGUGCAGAAGAAGGACCGGCCAACUACGUGCCAGCCGCCGCCGUAACAC